rnacentral:rRNA from 1 species
ACCUGCCUAUGAGACUGGGAUAACUCCGGGAAACCGGGGCUAAUACCGGAUAAUUCUUUUCUACACAUGUAGAAAAGCUGAAAGAUGGUUUCGGCCAUCACUCAUAGAUGGGCCCGCGGCGCAUUAGCUAGUUGGUGAGGUAACGGCUCACCAAGGCGACGAUGCGUAGCCGACCUGAGAGGGUGAUCGGCCACACUGGGACUGAGACACGGCCCAG